AACGAACGCUGGCGGCAGGCUUAACACAUGCAAGUCGAGCGCCCCGCAAGGGGAGCGGCAGACGGGUGAGUAACGCGUGGGAACGUGCCCUUUGGGUCGGAACAACUCCGGGAAACUGGAGCUAAUACCGGAUAAGCCCUUCGGGGGAAAGAUUUAUCGCCAAAGGAUCGGCCCGCGUCUGAUUAGCUAGUGGGUGAGGUAAUGGCUCACCAAGGAGACGAUCAGUAGCUGGUCUGAGAGGAUGAUCAGCCACACUGGGACUGAGACACGGCCCAGACUCCUACGGGAGGCAGCAGUGGGGAAUAUCGGACAAUGGGCGCAAGCCUGAUCCAGCCAUGCCGCGUGAGUGAUGAAGGCCUUAGGGUUGUAAAGCUCUUUUGUCCGGGAAGAUAAUGACUGUACCGGAAGAAUAAGCCCCGGCUAACUUCGUGCCAGCCGCCGCAGUAA
rnacentral:rRNA from 1 species